GAUGAACGCUAGCUACAGGCUUAACACAUGCAAGUCGAGGGGAAACGAUAGAGAAAGCUUGCUUUUUCUAGGCGUCGACCGGCGCACGGGUGAGUAACGCGUAUCCAACCUGCCCAUCACUUGGGGAUAACCUUGCGAAAGUAAGACUAAUACCCAAUGACGUCUCUAGAAGACAUCUGAAAGAGAUUAAAGAUUUAUCGGUGAUGGAUGGGGAUGCGUCUGAUUAGCUUGUUGGCGGGGUAACGGCCCACCAAGGCGACGAUCAGUAGGGGUUCUGAGAGGAAGGUCCCCCACAUUGGAACUGAGACACGGUCCAAACUCCUACGGGAGGCAGCAGUGAGGAAUAUUGGGUCAAUGGGCGAGAGCCUGAACCAGCCAAGUAGCGUGCAGGAUGACGGCCCUAUGGGUUGUAAACUGCUUUUAUAAGGGAAUAAACCCUCCCACGUGUGGGAGCUUGUAUGUACCUUAUGAAUAAGCAUCGGCUAACUCCGUGCCAGCAGCC
rnacentral:rRNA from 1 species